rnacentral:lncRNA from 1 species
UUUUUGAACUUCCGAGAAAUACGUAAUGAUAGAAUAUCGAGGUGUGAUGGAAUAUCUAAUAAUAUUUCAGUUAUGGAAAACGUAAUAUUUCGCCUGUGGACUUAAAACCUAACGUUUAAGGAAAAUGAUUUAUGAGAAGAAAAGGAAAUGUGAUUAAUGAAUUAAACGAUGAUUGUAUAUUAUGUAGGUAUUGUACGAGGUAAGGAAUACGAAUACUAUAUGAGGUAUUAUACGAGUACGUAUGAAUAAUGGUAUGUC